ensembl:snRNA U1 U1 spliceosomal RNA
AUACUGACCUGGCAGGAAAGAUACCAUGAUCAUGGAGGUUAUUUCCUUAUGGUGAGGCUCACCGAGUGUACUCCAGAUGUUCUAACCCUUGUAAUUUCUCCAAAUAUGGAAAACUCCACUGUAUAAUUGGUGGUAGUCGGAGAUGGAGCUCACACUUUCCCCUA